AAGAUGCUUGCUACCCGCGGUUGGACGGAAAGACCCCGUAGAGCUUUACUGUAGCUUAGCAUUGAAUUUCGGUAUUGUCUGUACAGGAUAGGUGGGAGACUUAGAAGCGAGGGCGUCAGCUUUCGUGGAGUCGUCCUUGGGAUACCACCCUGACAGUACUGGAAUUCUAACUGGAGGCCAUGAAUCUGGUCACAGGACAUUGCUAGGUGGGCAGUUUGACUGGGGCGGUCGCCUCCUAAAAGGUAACGGAGGCGCCCAAAGGUUCCCUCAGCGCGGUCGGAAAUCGCGCGUAGAGUGCAAAGGCAGAAGGGAGCCUGACUGCGACACAUACAGGUGGAGCAGGGACGAAAGUCGGGCUUAGUGAUCCGGUGGUUCUGUAUGGAAGGGCCAUCGCUCAACGGAUAAAAGCUACCUCGGGGAUAACAGGCUGAGCUCCCCCAAGAGUCCACAUCGACGGGGAGGUUUGGCACCUCGAUGUCGGCUCGUCGCAUCCUGGGGCUGUAGUCGGUCCCAAGGGUUGGGCUGUUCGCC
rnacentral:rRNA from 1 species